AGGGUUUGAUUAUGGCUCAGGAUGAACGCUAGCGACAGGCCUAACACAUGCAAGUCGAGGGGCAUCAGGUAUCAGCUUGCUGAUACGCUGGCGACCGGCGCACGGGUGAGUAACGCGUAUGGAAUCUGUCUGUAACAGGGGGAUAACCCGGAGAAAUUCGGACUAAUACCCCAUGCCGCCGGUUUUUUGCAUGAAAGGCCGGCGAAAGGGUAACCGGUUACAGGUGAUCAUGCGUUCCAUUAGCUGGUUGGCGGGGUAACGGCCCACCAAGGCGACGAUGGAUAGGGGUUCUGAGAGGAAGGUCCCCCACACUGGUACUGAGACACGGACCAG
rnacentral:rRNA from 1 species